AAGGGCAGUUAAAUUAGCCAUAGACUUAAACCUUCAGAAACUGCAUGUCGAGAUGGACUGUAUGGCUGUCGUACGGAUGCUCAAUGACCCGGGUAAAAACAUGUCAGUUGCUGAACAGGUCAUUGAAGAGAUAAAAGCAAUGCUCAGGACAAGGCAAGAGUUUAAUGUAACUUGGGUUAGGAGGUCUGCUAAUAGUGCAGCUCAUUAUUUAGCAAGAGAGGGAGUUUGUAAUAAAGUUUGUAGGGAGCGGCUAAACUAUCCUCCAGAUUGUAUUCUGGGUAUUGUAGCAGACGAGGUCCCUGUACUUGGUUAGUUAAGUAAUAGUAUAUCUGAACUUAAAAAAAAAACAUACGUUGUUACGAAUUCAUGCUUCCAUUUCAUACUACGCCUGCGUACGGCGUAGCUUAGGACCCCUGCUGCUCACUUCCUCCUCUUCAGCUGAUUCAGUAUCUUCCACCGCACCCGCUACGUGAGAUCCGUGGUCCACAUCAUUGUCACCGCCGUUGCGUUCUGCAUAGUUGCAGUAUCGUGGUUGCCGUAUCCUUCUUCUCUGUAAACUUGUGCCAUCAUCUUGAACACGAUAAUCCCACAGCAAUCUCUUUGGAUAACCUCUCCCUGAAAAUGCAUCAAGGUCAUCUGUUUCAAUGAAAAAAGUAUGUACCAGAACACACAACCAGCGACAGUGCCAUGCUACUUUACCUUGUCCACUCCGCCACCGUCUUGUGCAGGCAGCUGCGUCAUACUCGAAUCGCUCAACACCGACUUCUUAGACAAAGAGGAAGAUGACUGCGAACAGUGAUAGUUUUAGUAAUCCUCCAUGGCUGAAAAAAUGCCAGAUGGGCGCGAGAACAUGAAACUUCCUCACCUGAAUCUCCAAUCUGCCACUAGAGCCACCAAUUCAGAUCUCAUCGUCGUGGCACACCUGGCGGCUUCAGCAGGCGUUGGCGCCAUCCCAAGCAACGCUAGCUUCAAAUGUUUUUGAAUAUGCAACUACGGUGAAAGGCAACACGACAUCUGCUGGAUGUUACACUCUUAUACUGCUUUGAGGGAUGGCAUCCUGCCACCUGCCUUACAGUACUUGCAUUUAACCAUUCUAGCAGUUAAAAGUUUGAAUCUAGCCAUGCGCACAGUUCACUCAAAAACUGGCAAACGCAUUGUUGUAU
rnacentral:lncRNA from 1 species